UACGAAGGGGGCUAGCGUUGUUCGGAAUUACUGGGCGUAAAGCGCACGUAGGCGGACUUGUCAGUCAGGGGUGAAAUCCCGAGGCUUAACCUCGGAACUGCCUUUGAUACUGCAAGUCUUGAGGAUGAGAGAGGUAAGUGGAACUGCGAGUGUAGAGGUGAAAUUCGUAGAUAUUCGCAAGAACACCAGUGGCGAAGGCGGCUUACUGGCUCAUUUCUGACGCUGAGGUGCGAAAGCGUGGGGAGCAAACAGG
rnacentral:rRNA from 2 species